GACGAACGCUGGCGGCGUGCUUAACACAUGCAAGUCGAACGGAAAGGCCCUGCUUUUGUGGGGUGCUCGAGUGGCGAACGGGUGAGUAACACGUGAGUAACCUGCCCUUGACUUUGGGAUAACUUCAGGAAACUGGGGCUAAUACCGGAUAGGAGCUCCUGCUGCAUGGUGGGGGUUGGAAAGUUUCGGCGGUUGGGGAUGGACUCGCGGCUUAUCAGCUUGUUGGUGGGGUAGUGGCUUACCAAGGCUUUGACGGGUAGCCGGCCUGAGAGGGUGACCGGCCACAUUGGGACUGAGAUACGGCCAAGACUCCUACGGGAGGCAGCAGUGGGGAAUAUUGCACAAGGGGCGGAAGCCGGAUGCAGCAACGCCGCGUGCGGGAUGACGGCCUUCGGGUUGUAAACCGCUUUCGCCUGUGACGAAGCGUGAGUGACGGUAAUGGGUAAAGAAGCACCGGCUAACUACGUG
rnacentral:rRNA from 1 species